GAGUCAACCAAGCGGAACGAAAGCGACGACCAAGAAUCCCCAUCCAAGCCAACGGGCAACGAGGUAGCUCCCCGCAGCCAAAUCGAUUCCCGACGAUGGCCGCGCCCGCGCCAGCGCCAGCGCCGUGGCCCGUGUCGCAGGACCUCGCCGCGCUCGCCGGCCGCGCCCGCUCCCUGUCCCGGGGCGACGCCGGCCUUGCGGGCCUCGCCGCGGCGCUCCUCCGGAUCCAGCCCGUCGCCCGGGAGCUGGAGCGCCGGGCGUGGCCCCCGCCCGCCAGGGCCGAGGCCCCCGCGCUGCACGCCUGGCUCGCCGAGCUCGGGGCCGCCUUGGCCGAAGCCGAGGACCUCCUGGACGAGCUCCACCGCCGGCGCCUGGCCGGCUCCGCGAUCUCCAACUGCGUCGGUGCCGCGUUCCGUGGCCCCGCCCGGAAGCUGCGGCGCCUGGCCCAGAGGCUCGACUGCGCCCGCGACGACUCGGAGCGGCUGCGGCUUGGAAGCGCAGCGGGGUGCGGGGUGCGGUCGCCGAACCGCGUGACGGGCUCGGUGCUCGCGGAGCGGAGGGUCUUUGGGCGUGACAAAGAGUGCGACGACAUAGUCGGCAGGCUCAUCGGUGACUGCGUCGAAAUUUUUCCUUCAGUAACGCCAGUUGUUGCAGUGGUUGGCCAUGGAGGCAUGGGAAAGACCGUGCUUGCUCAGUGCGUGUACAAUGAUGCGAGGGUUCAAGGGUAUUUUGAUCUUAGAGUUUGGAUCUGCGUCUGGGAUAGGUUGGAUGAAGCUGAGCUCACCAGGGAGAUAUUGCAGUCCAUUGGUGGUGUAGAUGAUACACCCUAUGACGAGAGUUUGGAAACAUUGCAGGAGAAGCUUGGGGAAGUGGUUGCGUCGAAGAAGUUCUUCCUAGUUCUUGAUGAUGUUUGGAAUGAUGAGGGGAAGACCGAGCUGGAGAAUAGGUCUGUGUGGAACAAAGUGUUGGCACCUAUUAGCUCUGCCGCAAUCGGGAGCAAGAUCUUGGUGACCACUCGGAUGAAGCUAGUAGCAGAGGUUCUGAAUGCAUCAUAUGUGGUCACGCUUGACGGAUUAAAAAUUGUGGAUUGUUUGUUGUUGUUGAAGGAAACUGCGUUGGGUAGUGAAACCAUGGAGAUUCCUCAAGAUCUACUAGAGUUUGGGAGAGCCAUUGCUGCAAAGGUGAAGGGUUCACCUUUAGCCACCAAAGUUAUUGGGGAAAUGCUAAGGAACACCAGGAGCACACAGAAAUGGAGAGCACUGAUGGACACAGAAAUUUGUGAUAAUAUUAUUAUCUCCUCCCUCCAACUCAGUUAUCAACACUUGCCAGGUCAUCUCCAGCGCUGCUUUGCAUACUGCAGCAUUUUUCCAACGACUUGGAGGUUUAAUCGAUAUAAGUUGGUCAAAAUGUGGAUAGCUCUCGGUUUCGUUCAAACACCAUCAGAAGGGAAAAGGCUGGAAGAUUUAGGGUACAAAUACUUUGAUGAUCUCUUAUCACGGUCCUUCUUUGGGUCUGCAAAUAAAGAUCAGCAAACAUAUUACUUCCUGGAUGACCUAAUGCACAUUUUGGCGCAUCAUUUUUCUGCUCAAGAUUGCAUGAAAAUUAAUGAGGACAUCCCUGUUGUGAUUCCACCAACAGUUCGUCACCUAUCUGUCUCAACUGAUUAUUUACCACAGCUGAAGAGCAAAUACAGGUUGGGAAGGCUGCGGACAUUAUUAGUUCUUGGAAGCUCGUCGUUAUCCUCGAGUCAUUUCCCUGGUAAACUUCUGGCCAAAUUUAAGAACUUGCGAGUCUUGGAUCUAAGUGAAUCUGAUAUUGCAGAAUUACCAGAUUCCAUUAGUCAGUUGGUUCAUCUCCAUUACCUAGCUUUGUGCAGUAUAAUUAACAAACUUCCCAAGAGUAUAUACAGGCUUCAAUAUCUUGAGGUUCUAACCGUAUUGUUUUUCCAUGAUAACCAUCCUGGAGGUGCUGACAAAUUUGUUACUGUGAAACAUAUCAAAACAUGCUAUGAACAUAAGGCCAAUAGAUUGGUGUGUAAUGCUAUGCAUAAAAAUUGAACUCUGUUCUUCUUAGGUGGCAGUGUUAUGGGCAAAGCAUCAACCUGCGAGGUUGAUUUAAUAACAUGACCAGCUGCCUGGUGUGCUUUCAGAAUAAAACUUUACAAAUGAUCCCAGGAGCAGACAUGAAGUGCAAUGUUUUUUUUUCCCGAGGGAAGAGCAAUUUGAUACCUUCAAGCUCUUGAAUUCAUUUGGUGUCAGAAUAACUCCAAUUUGGUGGAUCAAGAAUCUGGUUGUUCACAUCCUUCGGAACUUUGAACUGUUCCCUAUUAGUUUGUUUGCUGAUCUCCAGGAUGGCACUUGGCAGCCUUUGAAGCCCCCAAUGGCUGGAGUAUCUGCCAGUUCUCCCUAAUUUUUUUGGUUUGCACCCAAUCAGAUGAAGAACUUGCAGCGAAGAUGGGAAGCGACUUGGCAGCGACUCCAACUCAGCACAAUUCAUAAUGCUCAGUUUUCUAAGAGAAUUGUUGUUGAAGUUGGUAGGGAAAGAUUCC